rnacentral:rRNA from 1 species
CUACGGGUUGCUGCAGUGAGGAAUUUUGCGCAAUGGGGGGAACCCUGAUGCAGCAACGCCGCGUGGAGGAUGACGCAUUUCGGUGUGUAGACUCCUUUUAUAUGUCAAGAAAAUGACGGUAGCAUAUGAAUAAGCACCGGCUAACUCCGUGCCAGCAGCCGCGGGUAAUACGGAGGGUGCAAGCGUUACUCGGAAUCACUGGGCGUAAAGGACGCGUAGGCGGGUUGGAAAGUCAGGUGUGAAAUCCUACAGCUUAACUGUAGAACUGCACUUGAAACUUCUAAUCUAGAGUAUGGGAGGGGGAGAUGGAAUUAGUGGUGUAGGGGUAAAAUCCGUAGAUAUCACUAGGAAUACCUAAAGCGAAGGCGAUCUCCUGGAACAUUACUGACGCUAAGGCGUGAAAGCGUGGGGAGCAAACAGGAUUAGAUACCCGGGUAGUC